rnacentral:SRP_RNA from 1 species
GCCGGGGCAGUAGCGGCGCCCUGUACUUGCAAUCCGCUAUAGCAAGGGUUAUAUCCUUAUUGAGGGUUAUGAUACGCAUCGAAGUGUUUGUUAAGUAGUGUUGACGGCCGGGUCUUGCGCAAUAUUCGCGCGUGAACCUGGUCAGGUGAGGAAUCAAGCAGCCAUAAGCGUUUGCUGUAUAUGUGCCGCAAGGUUGCCCGGCCCGAGCUAACUGGCAUAUA